CCCUGGUUAGCUCAGUUGGUAGAGCGCUCCACGGGAAAUUGAGAGGUCCCGUCCCAGGUUCGAUACCCGGACCAGGCG
rnacentral:tRNA from 1 species